AUUGAACGCUGGCGGCAUGCCUUACACAUGCAAGUCGAACGCGAAAGGGGGGCAACCCCUGAGUAGAGUGGCGCACGGGUGAGUAAUGCAUCGGAACGUGUCCUGUAGCGGGGGAUAACCUAGCGAAAGCUAGGCUAAUACCGCAUACGCCCUAAGGGGGAAAGUGGGGGAUCGUAAGACCUCACAAUAUAGGAGCGGCCGAUGCCGGAUUAGCUAGUUGGUGGGGUAAAAGCUCACCAAGGCGACGAUCCGUAGCUGGUCUGAGAGGAUGAUCAGCCACACUGGGACUGAGACACGGCCCAGACUCCUACGGGAGGCUGCAGUGGGGAAUUUUGGACAAUGGGGGAAACCCUGAUCCAGCCAUGCCGCGUGAGUGAAGAAGGCCUUCGGGUUGUAAAGCUCUUUCGGCCGGGACGAAAUCGCACGCGUGAAUAUCGUGUGCGGAUGACGGUACCGGCAGAAGAAGGACCGGCUAACUACGUGCCAGCCGCCGCAGUAA
rnacentral:rRNA from 1 species